rnacentral:rRNA from 1 species
UAUACUGCAGUCGAGCGGACAGAUGGGAGCUUGCUCCCUGAAGUCAGCGGCGGACGGGUGAGUAACACGUGGGCAACCUGCCUGUAAGACUGGGAUAACUCCGGGAAACCGGGGCUAAUACCGGAUAAUUCUUUCCCUCACAUGAGGGAAAGCUGAAAGAUGGUUUCGGCUAUCACUUACAGAUGGGCCCGCGGCGCAUUAGCUAGUUGGUGAGGUAACGGCUCACCAAGGCCACGAUGCGUAGCCGACCUGAGAGGGUGAUCGGCCACACUGGGACUGAGACACGGCCCAGACUCCUACGGGAGGCAGCAGUAGGGAAUCUUCCGCAAUGGACGAAAGUCUGACGGAGCAACGCCGCGUGAGUGAUGAAGGUUUUCGGAUCGUAAAACUCUGUUGUCAGGGAAGAACAAGUACCGGAGUAACUGCCGGUACCUUGACGGUACCUGACCAGAAAGCCACGGCUAACUACGUGCCAGCAGCCGCGGUAAUACGUAGGUGGCAAGCGUUGUCCGGAAUUAUUGGGCGUAAAGCGCGCGCAGGCGGUUCCUUAAGUCUGAUGUGAAAGCCCCCGGCUCAACCGGGGAGGGUCAUUGGAAACUGGGGAACUUGAGUGCAGAAGAGAAGAGUGGAAUUCCACGUGUAGCGGUGAAAUGCGUAGAGAUGUGGAGGAACACCAGUGGCGAAGGCGACUCUUUGGUCUGUAACUGACGCUGAGGCGCGAAAGCGUGGGGAGCAAACAGGAUUAGAUACCCUGGUAGUCCACGCCGUAAACGAUGAGUGCUAAGUGUUAGAGGGUUUCCGCCCUUUAGUGCUGCAGCAAACGCAUUAAGCACUCCGCCUGGGGAGUACGGCCGCAAGGCUGAAACUCAAAGGAAUUGACGGGGGCCCGCACAAGCGGUGGAGCAUGUGGUUAAUUCGAAGCAACGCGAAGAACCUUACCAGGUCUUGACAUCUCCUGACAACCCUAAAAAUAGGGCGUCCCCUUCGGGGGACAGGAUGACAGGUGGUGGAUGGUUGUCCUCAACUCCUGGCCUGGAAAGUUGGGUUAAUCCCCCACAAAGCCACCCUUGAUUUAUUGCCCCAUUCAUUGGGCC